rnacentral:rRNA from 1 species
GUACGGAAGGUCCGGGCGUUAUCCGGAUUUAUUGGGUUUAAAGGGAGCGCAGGCGGAGAUGCAAGCGUGACGUCAAAUUUCGGGGCUCAACCCCGUCUCGCGUCGCGAACUGCGUCCCUUGGUUGCGGGAAGGGGAGGCGGAACUCGUGGGGUAGCGGUGAAAUGCAUAGAUAUCACGAAGAACUCCGAUCGCGAAGGCAGCCUUCCGGCCCGUCAACGACGCUCAUGCUCGAAGGUGCGGGUAUCAAACAGGAUUAGAUACCCUGGUAGUCCGCACAGUAAACGAUGGACACCCGCGGUUUGGCCUGUAUGGCUGAGCCGCCAAGCGAAAGCGUUAAGUGUCCCACCUGGGGAGUACGCCGGCAACGGUGAAACUCAAAUGAAUUGGCGGGG